UACGACUACAUAUCAGGCAUAUCAAUAAGCGGAGGAAAAGAAACUAACAAGGAUUCCCCUAGUAACGGCGAGUGAAGCGGGAAGAGCUCAAAUUUGAAAUCUUAAAGGGUUUCCCUUUACGAAUUGUAGUUUAAAGAAGUGUUUUCUGUUGGAGUCUCGGUAAAAGUUCUUUGGAAUAGGACAUCAUAGAGGGUGAGAAUCCCGUAUUUGACCGUUACUUUCCAGCUGUGUGAUACACUUUCAAAGAGUCGGAUUGUUUGGGAUGCAGUCCAAGAUGGGUGGUAAAUUUCAUCUAAAGCUAAAUAUUGGCGAGAGACCGAUAGCGAACAAGUACCGUGAGGGAAAGAUGAAAAGAACUUUGAAAAGAGAGUUAAACAGUACGUGAAAUUGUCAAAAGGGAAGCGUUUGACACCAGUGUUGUUUAGUUGAAAAUCAAUUCAAUAGUUUUUGAUUCUAAGUAGUAUUGACUUCAUCAGCUUGCUGCUUUCUUCUCAGAAAUUAUUGAAUGCACUUUUCAGUUAACAAGUCAACAUCAAUUUCUUUUGUUGUAAAAGGGUAAGAGGAAGGUGGCUUGCGCUUCGGCUCAAGUGUUUAUAGCCCUUUAUCUCUGCAAUCGGAGAGAUUGAGGUCUGCAGCGUAGAUCCUUCGGGGUUAGAUACAUUGGUGCUAAGCUAUAGCCUUGUAUAGACAACUUGUUGACUAUGCUCAGUCAUGUAGCUUACUCGCUGAUGCUAUUUUACCUACGCUUAGGAUGUUGAGUAGCGACAUACGCAC
rnacentral:rRNA from 1 species